rnacentral:lncRNA from 1 species
UUCGUUUCUGGCUCCGACAGGUUGGUCCGGUAGGUUCUGGGGGCGAACAGGGUGCAACUUUGACGGAUCUGGGUUGGGUUCUUGCGUCACUGGCGACUGUGGGUCGGGGACCAUCGAAUGCAACGGCGCCGGUGCUGCCCCGCCGGCGACACUGGCGGAGUUCACUCUCGGUACCGGCGGGCAGGACUUCUACGACGUGAGCCUCGUCGAUGGCUACAACCUGCCGAUGAUAGUGGAAGGGAGUGGUGGGUCGGGAAUGUGCGCGUCGACGGGCUGCACGGUGGAUCUCAACCAGGGCUGUCCGGCGGAACUGAAGGUCGGAGACGGCAGCGCGUGCAGGAGCGCGUGCGAAGCGUUUGGGAGCCCGGAGUACUGUUGCAGCGGCGCGUACAGUACGCCCGCCACCUGCCGGCCGUCGGUGUACUCGGAGAUGUUCAAGUCCGCUUGCCCCAGAUCCUACAGCUAUGCCUAUGAUGAUGCCACCAGUACCUUCACAUGUGCCGGCGCUGAUUAUACGGUGACGUUUUGCCCCUCAUCUCCAAGGUAAAACCCUAAAAGAUCUUUUUUAUUUUUUUCAUUUUCUUAAAUUUUCUUCUGACGGUCACCCAUUUCCGCCUUCUGUGUAUAUUUUUUCCAUUUUUCUAUGACUUGGGUUGUUUAUUCUUUCCAAAAGUGUUUUUCAGAGAACAUGGGUUUUAAUGAGGUUGUUGACUAAUUAAUUUCUCUGCAACAAUUCAUUGAUGCGGGUUCUUAAUCUGUGGUGCAGUCAGAAAUCUUCAAGAGAGUCUUCACCAACGACCACAGGUACUCCAACAGAUGAGCCGGGAGUAUCAGGGUCCGGAACCUAUGAGCAAGGAGUAUCAGGGUCCGGAACCUAUGAGCCAGGGGCAUCAGGGUCCGGAACAAUGGGAUCAAUGACAAUCGGCUCAGGGUCAGGCUCAGACUCUGGAGCAAUGCUGGCAGAUGGGUCAUGGUUAGCUGGUUUAGCCAUGGGAGACUCAGCCAGGGCUCACUCUCCAUCAUCAUUCGCUGCCUCUUUAGCUCUCUCUUUCCUCCUCUUCUCCUUUGUUUACUUGUAGCCCAUCGUUCUGUUAG